rnacentral:rRNA from 1 species
CGGACGGGUGGGUAAUGUCUGGGAAACUGCCUGAUGGAGGGGGGUAACUACUGGAAACGGUAGCUAAUACCGCAUAACGUCGCAAGACCAAAGAGGGGGACCUUCGGGCCUCUUGCCAUCGGAUGUGCCCAGAUGGGAUUAGCUAGUAGGUGGGGUAACGGCUCACCUAGGCGACGAUCCCUAGCUGGUCUGAGAGGAUGACCAGCCACACUGGAACUGAGACACGGUCCAG